rnacentral:tRNA from 1 species
GCAUUGGUAGUAUAGUGGUGACUAUAGCUACCUUCCAAGUAGUUGACCAGGGUUCCAUUCCUGGCCAAUGCA